rnacentral:rRNA from 1 species
UACGGAGUAUCCAAGCGUUAUCCGGAUUUAUUGGGUUUAAAGGGUGCGUAGGUGGCCUGUUAAGUCAGGGGUGAAAGACGGUAGCUUAACUAUCGCAGUGCCCUUGAUACUGAUGGGCUUGAAUGAACUAGAGGUAGGCGGAAUGUGACAAGUAGCGGUGAAAUGCAUAGAUAUGUCACAGAACACCAAUUGCGAAGGCAGCUUACUAUGGUUUUAUUGACACUGAGGCACGAAAGCGUGGGGAUCAAACAGG